rnacentral:rRNA from 1 species
GACCGGGAUGGACGAACCUCUGGUGCACCAGUUGUCGCGCCAGCGGCACAGCUGGGUAGCCAUGUUCGGAUGGGAUAAGCGCUGAAGGCAUCUAAGCGCGAAGCCCACCUCAAGAUGAGAUUUCCCAUAGCGUUAAGCUAGUAAGACCCCUGGAAGAACACCAGGUUGAUAGGCCAGAGGUGUAAGCGUCGUAAGGCGUUUAGCUGACUGGUACUAAUAGGUCGAGGGCUUGAUCAU